CUUUACUGUAGCCUGGAAUUGGGUUCGGGCUUUGACUGCGCAGGAUAGGUGGGAGACUAUGAGACAUCCCUUGUGGGGGAUGUGGAGUCAUCAGUGAGAUACCACUCUGUCAAGGCUAGAAUUCUAACUCAUUGCCGUGAUCCGGCAUGGGAACAGUUUCAGGUGGGCAGUUUGACUGGGGCGGUCGCCUCCUAAACGAUAACGGAGGCGCACAAAGGUUCCCUCAGGCUGGUUGGAAAUCAGCAGAAGAGUGUAAAGGCAGAAGGGAGCUUGACUGUGAGACUGACAAGUCGAGCAGGGUGGAAACACGGUCUUAGUGAUCCGACGGCACUGAGUGGAAGGGCCGUCGCUCAACGGAUAAAAGUUA
rnacentral:rRNA from 1 species